CUAUGAAAGAGUGGACUAGCUGGUCCAGAAGAGAGUUGUUGGAGUUUGUUGGCUGUGCUGUGAAGAGGAAGGAGUCAGUGUUGUGAGGAGCUGUCCAUGAGUAAAGCAUCAAGAAGGAACCAAGCACAGAUCCACCCUGGAUUCUGCCAGCGCAGCUAUUUCAGUCAGGAGUGUGAAGGCAAAGCUGUGGUGACAGAAGAGCAAGCAAGACACUUGUUCUGGCACAGAGGCCCCUGGCAUCUUGUGUGAGCACACACGGAGGGUAACAAAUGCUCAGGAAGCAUCAAGCUCUCACAGAGCUCAGUCAGAGUGAGAAAAGCCCUUUUUGCAGAGGGACACACCAGCUCAUUCCAGAAUGGCUCUUGAAGGAAUCUAGGUUUGUUCCAGUGACAGGCUGGGUCACUCUUCAUGAGCACUUUCCUGGAAAAUACAGAUGAGGCUGUCAGGUUUUACCUUCUCAAACUUCCAAUACCAUCCUUGCAGACUCUACACUCAUGUAUUUAAUUUUUUCUCAUGAAAAUAUCCUGAAUUACUUGUUAAAAAAAAGAAAAAAAAGA